rnacentral:rRNA from 1 species
CCCUUAGAUGUUCUGGGCUGCACGCGCGCUACACUGAAGCUAUCAACACGUUUUCCCUCCCUGAGAAGGGCGGGUAACCUUUUGAAUCAGCUUCGUGGUAGGGAUCGGGGCUUGCAAUUGUUCCCCGUGAACCAGGAAUUCCUAGUAGACGCGAGUCAUAAGCUCGCAUCGAUUAAGUCCCUGCCCUUUGUAUACACCGCCCGUCGCUACUACCGAUUGAACGUUUUAGUGAGGCAUUUGGACCGACGCAUCUCAGUUUAACCGCUGGUUUGUGUUGGAAAGACUUCCAAACUUGAGCGUUUAGAGGAAGUAAAAGUCGUAACA